AGAGUGGGAGACGCAGAAUUUGCAGCAGGCUCCAGGCUCUGAGCUGUUAGCACACAGCCCGAUGCGGGGCUCAAAAUCACCAAGAGUGAGAUCAUGACCUGAGCCAAAGUCAGAUGCUUAACUGACUGAGCCAUCCAGGUGCCCCUGUAAUUUCAUAAUUUAAAUACUAGGGGAAAUGUUGUAAAAUGUGUUCUAAUUAUUUAAGUAAAUGAAAGUAGUUUUGUGUGGUUUUACAGUCAUGGGGGGAGAUAAUGAAAUUUUGGACUAGGGAAGUAAUGGGAUAGAGAUGAGGAGGAAUCUAUAAUGACUGCCUGGUUCCUCACUUGGUUGUAGAGUACAACAGUGGUAUAAUUAACCAGCAUAGAGGCAAAUGGAGGAAGGCUGGGGAUUUUAGUUUAUGUGUAUGUGUGUAUAAGAGCGUGGACUAGAAAACUGGGAAAGGGGAAGGAGAUAAGACGUUCAGUGAAGACAUUUAAUAUGGAAGACUGUCACUGGGAUAUCCAUAUAGAAAAGUUCAGUAGGGAGCUCAGCAUGUACAUCUGAAGCUUAAGAGAAAGGCUGGGGCUAGAAGUGGAGUCACUAAGAAGUGACCACUCAGAGGUGGAUGUUGAAAGUUGGGGGGAACUGGAUGCCAUUCCUCAUAGAGACUGAAUAUAGUGAGAGGAAAUGAGAACUAACAUUAUUAAGUGGGCAGAGUAAGAGAAGGCAGCAAAAAAAAUAUAUUAAGAACAACUAGCAGAAGGAUGGAAGGGGACACCAACGGAGCUCAAUGUUCUAGAAGCCAAUGGGAGAGAGGAUUCAGGAAAAAAGGAGUUAGGAUUAUCAGAAUAUAAAGACAGGUCAAGUAAAUUGAAACAGAUCGUGGGAUUUGGCAAUUUUGUCAUUAGUAACGUUUGCUAGUAUGCUUUCAAUACAUUCAUUGAUGGUGGCAGAAUUCUGUGUUGGGUUGAAAAUUAUUUUAAAUUGAGAAAAAUUACAGCAGAUUUAUAUUAUUUCAAGGCUCUUCAUUUCUUCUUGAAAACAGAAAUAAAGGAUCAUUGUAGGGAGUAGUUUAUAGAAUUGAGGAGGAGAUUUUACAGUGAAGAGAGUUUAAUAUUUAUAAAAUGUGGGGAGAGUCAGCAGACAGAAGAGAUUAGAAAGAAGGAGGAAUAAAGGUAAAGAAAGAUCUAUAGGAGAUUAGGGAAUGUGGGAUCAGGUGUGCAGUAAAGGAGUUGACCUGGAAGAAAAGGAUACUUCCUCUGAGAUUAGGAGGAAGGAGGUGAAGAUAAUUAAAUGUAUAACUUAUAAAUGUGGAGCAAGAAGGUUACGAGGUAUGUAGCUUAUAGUUUUGAUUUUUUUUUUUUUUCUGGUAAAGGAGACAUAAAAGAUAAGGGCAUAGGGGAAGUAGCAAGUUGGAGUUGAAAUAAAGUGGCAUAAAAUAUAUGUCCUAAGGAAUGGGAGAGGGAAUUAGCCAGGGGCAAGGUUAUUAGCAGGAGAGACUGAUGUAUCUGGGAAACUAAGCUAGAUAGGAAAAGAUAUGAAGCUAUGCUGGAGACAGUGGUCUGAAAAAAAGAAAAGGGAAUGGUUGAGGAACAGAGGUUAAAAUAAGGUAAGAAAGCAAGUGUUUAGAGAGGAAGGGAGUGAAAAAAUUGGAAUGAUAGGUGGUGUGGUCACAGAUCAAGAAUAUUGGAGUCUAAGGUUGUGGAACAAUUUCUUGAUGAUCAGAAGGUUGAAGGUGUGGCUCUGGGUAUGGAUUACUGAAUGAAAUGGUUGUAGCUGGUGGAGUCAGAAUUCAAGGUUGUUGUUGGAUAGGUUGUCCAUAUGGACACUGAACUGGCACAUCAUGGCAGGAAAUGCAGGGGAGACAGAUACUGAAAGCCAAGUGCCAAAGUCCACUAUAAAUAAGAGAGAGUGACUGGGCAAUAAAGUAAUGGGAAUGAAACAGAGGAAUAAAAAGUUUCCAAGAUUGUUCAUUAUAGCCUUUUUCUCUCUCACAAAUUAAGAGUCAUGAGGGCAAGGACUAUGUCUUACAUAAUAUUGCAAAUAUUUGUUGAUUAAUGGAUAAACAAAUGAUGACCUCAUCAUUUUGAACAAAUAUUCAUGUUGAAUUAGUAUUUUUGGAAACUUUGGGUUUUUCUUAUUACAAGCAGUUGAUACUAAAGAAUAUACAACAAGAUGAGCAAGAUGUAGAAAAAAAAUUAAUAAUCCAAACCCGGAAAUAACCACUGUUAGCCCCUUUUAUUAAAUUUUCAUACCUGUUUGUUGUUUAUCCUGGCAAUAAAUAUUCAGCUAUAAUAUCCUUUAAUGGCUAAGUAUUCCACAUAAAAUAAGGAUAUACCAUAAUUUAAGUAGUAUCUUAUUUGGGGAUAUUAUAUGUGUUUUUUUCUCUAUUUUUAAAAGGGACAAUCUAACAGUUAAAUUUUUGCUUUAUUUCCUUAGGAUGCAGUCUUAGAAGUGGAUUUUCUGGUAGGGUCUUCAUAGCCAGCUUAUUUUUCUUUGUUUUAGGCCUAUUUCUAACAGACUUGUUAUGUGUAUUCUUAUUCAAUUCUGGAUUGGAUUCAGAAAAUUGGACAGUGUUGCAGGUACUGAAUGACGUGUAGGCAUGCUGAUAUCCACAAAAGUAAGAACUGACUACACUUCAAGAAUGUUAAAGAAAGUCAUUCAGACAGAAAGGAAAUGAUACCGGAUGGAAAUACAGAUCUACACAGAGGAAUGAUGAGCACUGGAAAAGGUAACUACAUGGCCAAAUAUGUAAGUUUUUUUUUCCCAUUUAAUUCUCUUUUAAGAUAACGAUUUAAACAAAAACAAUAGCAAUGUAUUAUGGGAUUUAUAAUAUGCAUUAGUAAAUAUAUGUCAAUAAUAGCAUAAAGACCAGGAGGAGAAAAAUGGAAAUAUGAUAUUAUAAGGUUCCUUUAUUAUAUGUGAAGUGGUAUAAAUUUACUUGAAAGUAAAUUGUGAUAAAUUAAAUAUGUAGACUAUAAACCCUAAAGCAACCAGUAGAAUAAUAACAAAACAGUUAUGGCUAAUAAGCCAAAAGGAUAAAAAAUGGAAUCAUAAAAAAGUACUCAAUCCAGGGGCGCCUGGGUGGCUCAGUUGGUUAAGUGUCCAACUUUUGGUUUCGGGUCAGGUCGUGAUCUCACAGUUUGUGAGUUCGAGUCUUGUGUCAUGCUUAGUGCUGACAGGAUUCUCUCUCUCUCUUUCUUUCUCUUCCCCUUCCCUGCUUCUCUCUCUCUCUCUCUCUC